AGAUACCCCUGUAGUCCUGGCCGUAAACGACGAACACUAGGUGUCGGGGGAAUCGACCCCCUCGGUGUCGUAGCCAACGCGUUAAGUGUUCCGCCUGGGGAGUACGCACGCAAGUGUGAAACUCAAAGGAAUUGACGGGGGCCCGCACAAGCGGUGGAGUAUGUGGUUUAAUUCGAUGCAACGCGAAGAACCUUACCAGGGCUUGACAUCCUGCGAACCUCUGGGAAACCGGAGGGUGCCUUCGGGAACGCAGUGACAGGUGGUGCAUGGCUGUCGUCAGCUCGUGUCGUGAGAUGUUGAGUUAAGUCCCGCAACGAGCGCAACCCACGUCUUUAGUUGCCAGCAUUCAGUUGGGCACUCUAGAGAGACCGCCGGUGAUAAACCGGAGGAAGGUGUGGAUGACGUCAAGUCAUCAUGCCCCUUACGUCCUGGGCUACACACGUACUACAAUGCUACGGACAAAGGGCAGCGAACUCGCGAGAGUCAGCAAAUCCCAUAAACCGUGGCUCAGUUCAGAUCGUAGGCUGCAACUCGCCUACGUGAAGGAGGAAUCGCUAGUAAUCGCAGGUCAGCAUACUGCGGUGAAUACGUUCCCGGGCCUUGUACACACCGCCCGUCACACCAUGGAAGUUGGCCACGCCCGAAGUCGUUACUCCAACCCUUGUGGAGGAGGACGCCGAAGGUGGGGCUGAUGACUGGGGUGAAGUCGUAACAAGGUAGCCGUACCGGAAGGUGCGGCUGGAUCACCUCCUAA
rnacentral:rRNA from 1 species